ACAUUUAGCAUCAUGGACUCAAAAGUGAGAAGCCAAGUCAGACACCGCAAAAUGUAAAAUAAUCUGUCAGAUGUUUGGUCUGACAGGCUACGAAAUUCUGUCAGACUGAAGGAUAAUUUCUGGAUUCCACUUAUUAGCAUACCUGAUAAUAGCAUAUUUCUGUAAUUAGCAUAUAGCAGUGCUCCAGAUAACAUGUGUAAAGGCGUAAAAACGAAUAAAAUUUCUUAAAUAACGAUUUAGAUUUAAAAUCUUUGCAUAAAGUUACGCAUUGAAAAAAUAAAACACGAAUUCGACAUUUUCGAACGUGCGUAAAACUUCCAGUAGCAAAAUUUCAUCCCGGUUCUGACACGUCGAGGCGCUCAAUUAAAACUACAGCUUUAAGUCAACGUCUCUUUGCUGUUAGGAAGGGCCACACUUAAGAACGGUCGAAAGGCCAAACAGUCUCGAUUCUGUUCUCCUGGUAUUACAGGCGAGUCAUUACUGUUUAUUGUACCUUUUUAAUUACACUUAUCGUAAUUUUUAUUCACAAGUAAUAAACAAUAUACCUAUUCAAAAUGUCAUUAAAAUUAAAUGUUAAAUAUAUAUUUUUGAUAUGACUUUAACGGCGCCCAAAAUGCCAUUAUGACCUAAGCCGAAUUGACAGUUACUGUUUUAAAUAAAAAAUCAAAAUGGCCAACCGAAGCGGUGUAUCGAAGCGUGGAAGGCAAAAAAAGCAAGAUGAGCAAGAUAGAUGUGGGGUCUUUUGAGCCAGAAAAAGCUGUCCGAUUAUGGGAAAGCAAGAAACAGAAAAGAAAGCCAGGCUUUUCCAAGACUAUAAACCAAAAUGUUGGAUUGUUGAUGUGUCAAAAACAAUGCAUAAAAAUUAUUUGGUGGACUUCAAUAUGUAUGAUCUACUUAUGCUGCCACAAUGUAAAGGCAACAAUCACUGGGUUUUGCUGGUUGCAAGUGUUAUGUCCAGGACUGUAACCAUUUACGACUCAUUGGGUGGUAACAACAAGGCCUUGUUCGAUUUGUUCUGCCAGUUCAUGUGUCAACGAGGGCAAAUUGUGAAAGAUGGCUUGGAAAAAAUCAGUUCAGACUUAAAAGCGCCACCUUGCAACAAACAGCGCCACGGAAACAGCUGUGGAGUGUUUGCAUUGAUGACUGCCAAAUGUUUGGUCAUUAAAAAGCAUCCCACAAUGUUGCGACAGGCCCAUGAUUCAGUUUAUCGAGACUAGUCGUGAGAAGCAGACUUCUGAUUCCUGGAGUGCGGCAAACAUAUCUGUGCGACUCGAUCACUCCACUGUAAAGACCCGCACGGCAUUUAAAUGGAUAUUAUCAAUAUGUGUUGUUGCUCGAAAAUAUGUUUGUGUAGCAGGAAAUGCUUUGGGCUCGAUUAAUCUGAGAACUCAACAAAAUAUUAAUAAAAUCCUUCUGUGCCUUUUAGUUCUGAAAACAGAAGUAGCCAGUUGGUAUUACACAUCUCCUAAACAAGUACAGCACGAUAAAACUUAUAAACCUAGAUAUUUAUUUAUGUAGUGGUGUAUUUUUCAAUGAGUGCCUUAUGAUUCCAAAAACAUAUUGACUUAAAAUAAAUAAUCCCGAUGGCGUAAAUGACUUAUCAUUUCAUGUUCAUGAACCGGCUUUAAAAUACUUUGUAGACUUAUCUGCUAGGCGGUGAGGACUUUUAGACCACCUGAUAAACUUCAACUUUAUUUGCCCUAGUUCAGUAACCGACUAAACAUAUGCUAACAUUAUACUGAUGACUGAUGAGUCUGUUGUGUCUUAUAUUCUCAUUGCUACUUAAAAUAUUAAGUCUAUUUCAACGUUUAGACUAAUAAUAAGCAAAUUCGUUAAAUUGAUAUCCCCGCCAAAUAAAUUUUGAUUAUUGAUGGGUGCAGAACUAACAGAAAAGUUUAUUUGAAGGGUUGUACCCUUAUCUCACUUAUUUUAUAGUAACAACAUAAAAAAACAAUUGGCAAUAACUCUUAUUUAAGAAAGUGUAGGGUUAUAGAUUUUGUGCAUGACACCUCUCCUCAUUUAUAUCUUAACGUCCAUUAAAUUUCAUCUUUAAAUCGUGUAUAGUAUCUGUGAUAUAGUCCUGUAAAGUAACAUCAGACAUGUACAUAUGUACUAGGGUUAUGUUUCUUGUGCAUGGCACUUAUUCUCAUUGACAAUUAUACACCCAUGAAAUUUCAUGUUGAAAUCUUGUAUUUAUAGUUUCUGAGAUAAAGCCCUGAAAAGUUACAUCAUACAAAAACAACAAAGGGCAAUAACUCUUAUUUAAGAAAGUGAAGGGUUGUGGUUCUUAUGCAUGGUUCUAUAAAUGAGAUAUAGCCCUGAAAAGUUACAUCAUAAAAUAACAAUAACAAGAAAGGGCAAUAACCGUUAUGUAAGAAAGUAUACGGUUAUGGUUCUCGUGCAUUGAUAAUUAUACACCCAUGAAGUUUCAUGUUAAAAUCUUGUAUAGUAUCUGAGAUAUAGCCCUAGUUACAUCAUAGAAAAACAACAAAGCGCAAUAACUCUUAUUUCAGAAAGCGACGGGUUAUGGUUCUUGUACAUGGCACCUCUCCUCAGCUAUAUUUAUACACCCAUAAAGUUUCAUGUUGAAUACUUAUAUUGAGUUUCUGAGAUAGAGCACUGACAAGUUUGUGAGUGACUGCACUGACAGACAGACCAACGGUACGUUUAAGUAUAUUUAGCGUACCCGGGGUACAUUAAAGUAUACUUAAGAGUACACGGGGUACUUUAAAGCAUUACCCGAGCUGAAGCGACAAUUGCCAAUCAAGCUUAUUGACAUAUUAAAUAAAUGAUGAUAGUGGUAACUAUGAUUGUAUGAAAUAUAAUAAAAUAGUUUUCCUGAA